rnacentral:rRNA from 1 species
AGUGAACGCUGGCGGUAUGCCUAACACAUGCAAGUCGAACGGCAGCACAGUAAGAGCUUGCUCUUACGGGUGGCGAGUGGCGGACGGGUGAGGAAUACAUCGGAAUCUACUUUUUCGUGGGGGAUAAUGUAGGGAAACUUACGCUAAUACCGCAUACGACCUACGGUUGAAAGCAGGGGAUCUUCGGACCUUGCGCGAUUGAAUGAGCCGAUGUCGGAUUAGCUAGUUGGCGGGGUAAAGGCCCACCAAGGCGACGAUCCGUAGCUGGUCUGAGAGGAUGAUCAGCCACACUGGAACUGAGACACGGUCCAGACUCCUACGGGAGGCGGCAGUGGGGAAUAUUGGACAAUGGGCGCAAGCCUGAUCCAGCCAUACCGCGUGGGUGAAGAAGGCCUUCGGGUUGUAAAGCCCUUUUGUUGGGAAAGAAAAGCAGCAGGUUAAUACCCCGCUGUUCUGACGGUACCCAAAGAAUAAGCACCGGCUAACUUCGUG